CAUGAGGGACAAGAACCUAGCACAAUAACUCACUUCUGAGCUAGUACGUCAGGUCAAGGUGCAGCCAAUAAGUUGGUAGAGAUGGGCUACAUUUUCUACAUCAUAGAAAUUAGUCACGGAGAGGCCUGUGAAACCAGGACUGUCAAAGACGGAUUUAGCAGUAAAUUAGGAGAAGAGUGCCUAAUUGAAGAUGGCCCCGGAAUAUGUACAC
rnacentral:rRNA from 1 species